AGCGGGGUAGUGGUACAGCGACCACGCCGGUUUCAUAAGCCGGAGAAGGCGGGUGCAAUUCCUCCUCCCGCUACCA
rnacentral:tRNA from 1 species